AUUGAACGCUGGCGGCAGGCCUAACACAUGCAAGUCGAACGAGUGGAGGCCGGGUGAGUAAUGUCUGGGAAACUGCCCGAUGGAGGGGGAUAACUACUGGAAACGGUAGCUAAUACCGCAUACCAUCGGAUGUGCCCAGAUGGGCUUGGCUUGUAGGUGAGGUAACGGCUCAACUAGGCGACGAUCCCUAGAUGGUCUGAGAGGAUGACCAGACACACGGGAAUGGCGUCAGUGGUCAGAUGACUACGGGAGGAAGCAGUGGGGAAGAUUGAACACGGGGCGAAAGCCUGAUGCAGCCAUGCCGCGGGUGUGAAGAAGGCAUUCGGGUUGUAAAGUACUUUCAGCGGGGCGGCGUUGCCCGCAGAAGAAGCACCGGCUAACUCCGUGCCAGCAGCCGCGGUAAUUC
rnacentral:rRNA from 1 species